rnacentral:rRNA from 1 species
ACUCCUACGGGAGGCAGCAGUAGGGAAUCUUCGGCAAUGGGGGGAACCCUGACCGAGCAACGCCGCGUGAGUGAAGAAGGUUUUCGGAUCGUAAAGCUCUGUUGUUAAGGAAGAACGAGUGUGAGAAUGGAAAGUUCAUGCUGUGACGGUACUUAACCAGAAAGGGACGGCUAACUACGUGCCAGCAGCCGCGGUAAUACGUAGGUCCCGAGCGUUGUCCGGAUUUAUUGGGCGUAAAGCGAGCGCAGGCGGUUAGAAAAGUCUGAAGUGAAAGGCAGUGGCUCAACCAUUGUAGGCUUUUGGAAACUGUUUAACUUGAGUGCAGAAGGGAGAGUGGAAUUCCAUGUGUAGCGGUGAAAUGCGUAGAUAUAUGGAGGAACACCGGUGGCGAAAGCGGCUCUCUGGUCUGUAACUGACGCUGAGGCUCGAAAGCGUGGGGAGCGAACAGGAUUAGAUACCCUGGUAGCGAGUAG